GACGAACGCUGGCGGCGUGCUUAACACAUGCCAGUCGAACGGAAAGGCCCUGCUUUUGUGGGGUGCUCGAGUGGCGAACGGGUGAGUAACACGUGAGUAACCUGCCCUUGACUUUGGGAUAACUUCAGGAAACUGGGGCUAAUACCGGAUAGGAGCUCCUGCUGCAUGGUGGGGGUUGGAAAGUUUCGGCGGUUGGGGAUGGACUCGCGGCUUAUCAGCUUGUUGGUGGGGUAGUGGCUUACCAAGGCUUUGACGGGUAGCCGGCCUGAGAGGGUGACCGGCCACAUUGGGACUGAGAUACGGCCCAGACUCCUACGGGAGGCAGCAGUGGGGAAUAUUGCACAAUGGGCGGAAGCCUGAUGCAGCAACGCCGCGUGCGGGAUGACGGCCUUCGGGUUGUAAACCGCUUUCGCCUGUGACGAAGCGUGAGUGACGGUAAUGGGUAAAGAAGCACCGGCUACUACGUG
rnacentral:rRNA from 1 species